AUAUAUAUAUAUAUAUAUAUAUGGUUUCAAAUAUAUUUCUCGUAUAUUUUUUCGUAAGUUAAAAAUGAUCUUGCUGUUAGUACCCGUUUAAGUCAUUUCGGAUUAAAUUUCUAUCAAAGUUAAAAAGAAGUCAAAUAUCUCUUUAUUCCCUAACUUAAAGACAAAUAAGAAAAAAUUGGUGACUAUAGAUAGGUAUAUUUGAAAAGAAAAAAUAGUAACCUUAUAAAGAUAACAGCUGUUCCAAGCAGUUCACUAGAAUUUAUUUUUGAAAAAACUUCAAAUAUCACCCUUAUGGUUUUGGACCUUUUUUUUAGUACCAUGCGGUUCAAAGUGUAUCAAUUUAGUAUCCUGUGGUUUCAUUUUUUUUUUUAUUAUCCCCUCCGCUAAUUUUUUUUGUUUAAUCAAUAACAAAGUUAAAACUAAAUGAAACUAAAGUGAAUAUUCAAUAAAUCUAGGUGGGGUAACUGAAGUUUUUUAUAUAUAAUUUAACGAAAUGUUAACGGAGGAGCCGACGAAACGAGAAAAAUAAAAUCACAAAGUACUAAAUUGAUACACUUUAAACUACAGAAUAUUAAAGUGAGAAAAUAUAAAACUACAGAGAUAGUAUUUGAAGUUUAUCUAUUUUUGAUAGCAGGCUU
rnacentral:lncRNA from 1 species